rnacentral:misc_RNA from 1 species
UCCUAGUUAACCUAGGCAGUCUCAUUAGAGUUCCCAUCCAAAAUGUUGGCAACUAAUGAUAAGGGUUGCGCUCGUUGCGGGACUUAACCCAACACCUCACGGCACGAGCUGACGACAGCCAUGCAGCACCUGUGCACAGACCCCGAAGGGCUAUAACAUCUCUGCUAUAUUCCUGUGCAUGUCAAGCCUGGGUAAGGUUCUUCGCGUUGCAUCGAAUUAAACCACAUGCUCCACUGCUUGUGCGGGUCCCCGUCAAUUCCUUUGAGUUUCGGUCUUGCGACCGUACUCCCCAGGCGGAGUGUUUCACGCGUUAGCUGGGCCCCUGAUCCACGUAGACCAAGGGCGAACAAUCAUCGUUUACGGCGUGGACUAC